rnacentral:tRNA from 1 species
GCCGGAGUGGUGGAAUUGGUAGACGCGCUGGUUUCAGGGACCAGUGUCCUUUGGGAUGUGCGGGUUCGAAUCCCGCCUCCGGCA